rnacentral:tRNA from 1 species
UGAUGAUGUCAUCUUUCCAGGAUGGUUAUGUGUACAUUUAUAAGAUAAACAAUUUUGUUUAUGGGAUGCUGGUAGAAUUUGGACUGGCAUCUAGUUCAAAGCUUAGACCUUGCAUGACCUAUUUUUCCAGCAUUGCUUUUGAUAUGGAUUUUUGCAAUGCAGGAGGAGACAAAAGAAAAUGCACUAAGACCAAGUACAAAACUUAUAUUUUCUUACAUACAUUCUUCUCUUGUCUAUGAAUCAUUGUUCAUGAAAUUCCCUAUCUUUGAUAUGGAAACUUGUUUUUACCUCAGUACUUCUGGGUUAGAUAAGCUUGAUGUUUUAGAAAUCAAAACAGCUGAUAACUGUUUGAGAAGCUUAACAUACCCACUCAACUGUGGAUGUUUAAAAGUUGUUCUAUCUUGACAGGGUUGGAGGUGUAGCUUAGCGGUAGAGUGUAUGCUUAGCAUUUGUGAGGCUCUGGAUUCAAAUCCUAGUGCACAGAAAAACUGUGCUUUCUUGGGCUGAGGAUGUAGCUCAUUGAUAGAGCACUUGCCUAGCAUGUGAGGCUCUGGGUUCCAUCCCCAGCACCUCAAAAGAAAGUGCAACAUUUUAAAUUUUUUUUUCUAUCAUAAAAUGUAAAUUAUUCCAUUCCACAAAGGGGUAAGAGACAUAGGGUUCUAGAUACUCUCUUCUUAUUUUUAACUGAGGUUCUUUGUGAAUCUAUUAGAACUAAUUUUGGUCAUGAAAAUGUUCUGAAGUGGGAAAAAGAAAAGUCAAAAUUGUAAUCUGGUUAGGGCUUUGGGUUAUUUGGGUUAUUUUGAGGUACUGUGAGGCCAAAGCUGUGGAGUAGUGGUCUCAGGCCAUUACUUGUAUAUAUUUACUUCUCCUUUCUCCCCUUUCUCUCUCUUUCAUGCACACACAAAAAUCUGUAUACAGACAUAUACUUUUAGUAUUAGGAUUAUUGAGAAAGGUGUCAGUUUUUCCCAUGUACUGUCAGAAAUUGUUGAAGUGUAAAUCACUGCAUCAAACAGCAUAUCAAAAAGUGUCUAAUGGUGACUCCAAAUGUAUCAGGGGUCUGGGAUCAGAGUUACUAUGCUCCCUGAGCCUAGUUUAUAUUAUAGCUGGUAGAUACUAGUAGCUAGGUGGGCCUCCUUUAUUUUUUUCUUGGGAUACUUGGGUAUUGA